rnacentral:rRNA from 1 species
UACGUAGGGUGCGAGCGUUGUCCGGAAUUACUGGGCGUAAAGAGCUCGUAGGUGGUUUGUCGCGUUGUUCGUGAAAACCGGGGGCUUAACCCUCGGCGUGCGGGCGAUACGGGCAGACUUGAGUACUGCAGGGGAGACUGGAAUUCCUGGUGUAGCGGUGGAAUGCGCAGAUAUCAGGAGGAACACCGGUGGCGAAGGCGGGUCUCUGGGCCGUAACUGACGCUGGAGGAGCGAAAGCAUGGGGGAGCGAACAGG